rnacentral:rRNA from 1 species
UACGGGGGGAGCAAGCGUUGUUCGGAUUUACUGGGCGUAAAGGGCGCGUAGGCGGGCGAUCAAGUCAGGGGUGAAAUCUUUCGGCUCAACCGGAAAAGGGCCUUUGAUACUGGUCGCCUCGAGGGAGGUAGGGGCAUGCGGAACUUCCGGUGGAGCGGUGAAAUGCGUAGAUAUCGGAAGGAACGCCGGUGGCGAAAGCGGCGUGCUGGACCUCUUCUGACGCUGAGGCGCGAAAGCCAGGGGAGCGAACGGG